UACGGAGGGUGCAAGCGUUGUUCGGAAUUACUGGGCGUAAAGCGUGCGCAGGCGGUUGUGCAAGACCGAUGUGAAAUCCCCGGGCUUAACCUGGGAAUGGCAUUGGUGACUGCACGGCUAGAGUGUGUCAGAGGGGGGUAGAAUUCCACGUGUAGCAGUGAAAUGCGUAGAGAUGUGGAGGAACACCGAUGGCGAAGGCAGCCUUCUGGGCCAACACUGACGCUCAUGCACGAAAGCGUGGGGAGCAAACAGG
rnacentral:rRNA from 1 species